AUAAAUGUUAGGUAUGGGAGGUUCGGCUAUGGAAAACCAAGGAAACGGAGAAGAAGAAAAUGAUAUCAACAUCCCGUGUUACUCUCUUGAGUGGUUUACCUGUACCGGACCACGCUAAAGAUUCUUUGGACCAGCUCAAGAAGUUUGUAUCCAAGUUGUAAUUUUCAUUUUGUAUCUCUCUGACUCUCACAGCCUUGUUUGCUGGGAAUAAAGAACGGUUUACUAGUUUGGUGGUUGUAUUGUAUUGUAUCUACCAAACGAUUACAUAAAUUUCCCCCAAGUCUUUUUUAAUCUUUGGUCUAAUUUGCAGAUCAUUUCAUUUAAAAAAAUAUAUAAAGAGAAUAUCUUGUUAGAAUGUCCAAAUGGUACUAAGUAUGAUUAUAAAAUCAGACGUGAUAUGUUAUAUGAUGAUAGAGAGAAUCUUUCAAUCCAUAUCUAUGUGGUUAAAACAUCAUGCCAUUGUGUCAAUCCUAACGUCGAUGCCGUGUCGUUCUUUUCCUCACACACUAGAUCAUGCCAUAGAGUGUAGUGGCAUGCUUAACCCCUUUACAGAGUAGUAUAAAAAAGCGGCAAAAGUGAAAAUGAAUCUAUGCGCCCAUCAGGUGUUCGACAGAAUGCUUCUGUGUGGAGAUAUGGCGAUGAGGUUGAUGUUUGCUGUUUCUUCUUCUUCUCCGGUAUUAAUGGCGGAGUUACCUGACUUGAAGAAAAGAAACAAGAGGAGAUCUGUGAGGAUGAUCAAAUGCAGAGCUGACGGUGGACGCGUGACCGUCGGCGACGACGUGUUCUCGGUUACGACUUCUUCUAAGUAUGAAGUGGACUAUCUGGGUCAAAGCACCAAGGGAGAUUUGAAUCUCAAGCUUGACACUCUCCACUCAUUUGGUAUACAUCCUCCUUUCCAUUGUUGCUAGUUUUCAAAACUGAAACUGGAGUUUUAGAGAACUUUGGAAUUUAAUGUAUCGGUGCCUGGUUAAGGAAUUUGAUACUUAUAUGCUAAAGGUCGAACCUUGUUGUUGUUGUGGGUGUUGUUUUGUUUAUUGAGGUGAAUAAGAGCUAAAGCUCGAACCUUUUUGAUGUAGGAGCAAAUGCAAAAGCUUACAUUUUAUAUUUCCUUUUUUUUUCUUGAUGUAGUGUCAUUAUAGCUUUGUAUUAUCCAUGUAGGAAAUGGGCAGGCUACGUUGGAGGGUCCAAUUGAGGAGGUAGCGAGGACAGAGGCUCAAGCUGCUGAAAAUUUGAUUAGAGAGUUGGGUAUCGAAGUUCGUUUUCUAAUCCUUGUAAUUUGUGUCUUACAUAUUCUCUGAAUUUAGAGUUUGAGGAUAGCUUUGUAUGGUUUUUAUAAGGACUUUGUGAUGAUCCUUCACUGGUCUCACACAUUCAUGCCUGAUAUUGCAGGGUCCUUUCUCUGCGCAACACUCUCCUCGUGGUAUAUUUUGUAGUCGUACACUGAAUCUACGGUCUAUUAGUGUAAUCGGAUAUGAUAUGGAUUACACUUUGAUGCACUACAAUGUCAUGGUGAGUUCUUCUCUUCUCAUACUCUAUGUAUGCAGAAGAUACAUCCAUAAUUGACGCGAAUGUAUGGCUUUGUUCAGGCUUGGGAAGGAAGGGCUUAUGACUAUUGCAUGGAAAAUCUAAAGAGCAUGGGUUUCCCUGUUGAUGGACUUUCUUUUGAUCCAGAACUGGUAAUAUGUUUAUUCUUGUGAUGGUUGAAGGGUUCCACAUUGUAGUAUCCUCCCUAAAGUUUUUUUGUAGUGCUAAGCCUAAACUACUCUGUCUCUUAUUAUAGGUUAUAAGGGGUCUCAUGAUCGACAAAGAGAAAGGUAAUUUAAUCAAGACUGAUAGAUUUGGAUAUGUGCAGAGAGCCAUGCACGGUACAAACAUGUUAUCAAAUAAAGCUGUCAGGUAUGGUAGACUUUUCAAUACUAUUCAGUUGCGUAGUCUUUGUUCUUUAGGAAGUCUUAUUCUCUUAUUCGAUUUAUAUGGGUGAAAGUGAGAUCUAUGGAAGAGAGUUAGUUGAUCUUCGGAACCAGAGCCGUUGGGAGUUUUUGAACACAUUCUUUUCUGUUUCAGAGGCUGUGGCUUAUGCGCAGGUACGUUCAUUUAUUACGAGAACUCGUUGCUGAAUAUUGUUUGUUUAUGUUGGGGACAAUCAACCACUUUCAGAUGGUUGAUAGAUUGGAUGAUGGAUUUAUUUCAGCAGAUCUUGGCACUCUUGAUUACAAAGGACUGUACAAGGUCAUUUGCUUCAAAGGACCUAAAUUUCAUUGAAUUGAAAGCUUUGCAUAUUAUUUACCUGUAAUCAAUGUUUUCAGGCUGUUGCAAAGGCCCUCUUCAGAGCACAUGUUGAAGGACAACUUAAGGUUUAUAGUUUGUCCAUUCUGCAAUUAGUCUCUAAUAAAUCAGGUUUCCCAGGUCCCUAACUAAUGAUAGUUAUCUUGCAGAGUGAGAUAAUGUCCAAGCCAGAACUAUUUGUCGAGCCAGACCCAGAGUUACCUUUAGCUCUUUUGGAUCAAAAGGAGGUAAUGUUUGUGUCUUCCCAGAAAAAGUCUCUCAUUAUGAUAGGUUCAUUUGUUAAUAUCCGUACUGUUCGCUCACAGGCUGGUAAAAAGCUCUUGCUUAUCACAAACUCAGAUUAUCACUACACAGACAAAAUGAUGAAGCAUUCAUUUAAUAAAUUUCUUCCUAAUGACAUGGACUGGCGAGAUCUUUUUGACAUGGUGAGCAAACGAAAAAUCGUUUCUGCAUUUUAAUUGUAAAGCAGUCGUUUUAACAGAGAGUAGUUCUAACUUAUGUUUCCUCGUCUGGCCGACUAAAAUUCAUGUAUCCACAUAGGUGAUAGUUUCUGCGAGGAAACCAGAGUUCUUCCAGAUGUCACACCCUUUGUACGAGGUUGUGACUGGAGAGGGUUUGAUGCGUCCAUGCUUUAAGGCUGAAACAGGUGAUUUCUCAUUGUUUGAUAAUACUUCUGUGGAGAAAGCUAUUUUUUCCUUUUAUCUCAAUGUUUGUCUCGCACAGGAGGUUUAUACUCAGGAGGAAGUGCUCAGAUGGUAGAGAGUUCUCUCAAUGUUCAUGGAGAUGAGAUUUUGUACGUUGGUGACCACAUCUACACUGAUGUCAGCGUCUCCAAAGUCCAUCUCAGGUGGCGAACUGCACUGAUUUGCCGUGAACUGGAAGAAGAGGUUUAUCGGCGCCGGUAUAGCAUCUGGUUAUAAACGUGUUGCUGGUGUCCAUCUUUCAAUCCACCAUAUCCGACCUGCUGCCCUCGGUGAAUCCGUCUUCGCCGAAUCUUUUCCGGUCUCAGUCGGCAAAAAUAUACAGGUAGGCUACCUAUACAUAUAUCAUUGUUUAAUUAGAUGUUUUUUUUGGUCAACGACAUAUAGAUAUGUUAGUCUCUAAUUUAAUAGAAGAAACUUGGUCAAGGAUAUACACUAUUAAAUUUAUACAAGUAUAAAAAAUAAAUUCACGAUUAAACAUACGAUAUUUUUUUCCGGGUUUUGAUUGGUAAAAUGGUGACUAGUUAGUAGUUAUUCAUCAACUCUAUGUUUUUUAUCAGUUGAUUAUUAAAAUUUAAAAUAUGUUAUUGAUGUAACAAUGAAAUAGAAAGAAAACUAGUUAUGUUAAUUUUUUGUAAGUCAUUUCGUGUUAUAUAAUGAAAUGAAAUGACUAGUGAGUUGUUCGUGGGGCACUUUGAUGUUUUGUUAACAUGCAUUUGACUAAACUUACGAAACUCUUUAUUUUAAGAUAUUUUAUUCCAAAUUUACGAAUAAAUGUUAGGUAUGGGAGGUUCGGCUAUGGAAAACCAAGGAAACGGAGAAGAAGAAAAUGAUAUCAACAUCCCGUGUUACUCUCUUGAGUGGUUUACCUGUACCGGACCACGCUAAAGAUUCUUUGGACCAGCUCAAGAAGUUUGUAUCCAAGUUGUAAUUUUCAUUUUGUAUCUCUCUGACUCUCACAGCCUUGUUUGCUGGGAAUAAAGAACGGUUUACUAGUUUGGUGGUUGUAUUGUAUUGUAUCUACCAAACGAUUACAUAAAUUUCCCCCAAGUCUUUUUUAAUCUUUGGUCUAAUUUGCAGAUCAUUUCAUUUAAAAAAAUAUAUAAAGAGAAUAUCUUGUUAGAAUGUCCAAAUGGUACUAAGUAUGAUUAUAAAAUCAGACGUGAUAUGUUAU
rnacentral:lncRNA from 1 species